CCCUUAGAUGUUCUGGGCCGCACGCGCGCUACACUGACGAAGUCAGCGAGCAUGUCCUACGCCGACAGGUGCGGGGAAUCUUGUCAAACUUCGUCGUGAUGGGGAUUGAUUAUUGAAAUUCUUGAUCAUCAACGAGGAAUUCCUUGUAAGCGCAAGUCAGCAGCUUGCGUUGAUUACGUCCCUGCCCUUUGUACACACCGCCCGUCGCUACUACCGAUUGAAUGGUUUAGUGAGAUCUUCGGAUUGGCGCCACUGCGGCUCAGCAAUGGGCUCGGUGGAUGCCGAAAAGUUGAUCAAACUUGAUCAUUUAGAGGAAGUAAAAGUCGUAACA
rnacentral:rRNA from 1 species